GAUGAACGCUGGCGGUAUGCCUAACACAUGCAAGUCGUACGAGAGUUUUUAACUCAAGUGGCGGACGGGUGAGUAACACGUGAGAAUUUACCUUUAGGAGGGGGACAACAAUUGGAAACGAUUGCUAAUACCCCAUAUGCUUUCGAGUGAAAUGGUUUUUCCGCCUAAAGAAAAGCUCGCGGCUGAUUAGCUUGUUGGUAAGGUAACGGCUUACCAAGGCGACGAUCAGUAUCUGGUUUGAGAGGACGAUCAGACACACUGGAACUGAGACACGGUCCAGACUCCUACGGGAGGCAGCAGUGGGGAAUUUUCCGCAAUGGGCGAAAGCCUGACGGAGCAAGACCGCGUGGGGGAGGAAGGCUUUUGGAUCGUAAACCCCUUUUGUCAAGGAAGAAGCUCUGACGGUACUUGACGAAUAAGCCUCGGCUAACUCCGUG
rnacentral:rRNA from 1 species